UACGUAGGGUGCAAGCGUUAAUCGGAAUUACUGGGCGUAAAGCGUGCGCAGGCGGUUUUGUAAGUCUGACGUGAAAUCCCCGGGCUCAACCUGGGAAUUGCGUUGGAGACUGCAAGGCUAGAAUCUGGCAGAGGGGGGUAGAAUUCCACGUGUAGCAGUGAAAUGCGUAGAGAUGUGGAGGAACACCGAUGGCGAAGGCAGCCCCCUGGGUCAAGAUUGACGCUCAUGCACGAAAGCGUGGGUAGCGAACAGG
rnacentral:rRNA from 1 species